ACGCUCGACACCUACGGGUGGCAGCAGUGGGGAAUAUUGCACAAUGGGGGAAACCCUGAUGCAGCGACGCCGCGUGAGUGAAGAAGUAUUUCGGUAUGUAAAGCUCUAUCAGCAGGGAAGAAGAUGACGGUACCUGAGUAAGAAGCCCCGGCUAACUACGUGCCANNCGCGUAUCUNAGCGGCGUGNGAG
rnacentral:rRNA from 1 species